rnacentral:rRNA from 1 species
UGGAAGAGUUUGAUCCUGGCUCAGAUUGAACGCUGGCGGCAGGCUUAACACAUGCAAGUCGAGCGGAGAGAGGUAGCUUGCUACCGAUCUUAGCGGCGGACGGGUGAGUAAUGCUUAGGAAUCUGCCUAUUAGUGGGGGACAACAUUUCGAAAGGAAUGCUAAUACCGCAUACGUCCUACGGGAGAAAGCAGGGGAUCUUCGGACCUUGCGCUAAUAGAUGAGCCUAAGUCGGAUUAGCUAGUUGGUGGGGUAAAGGCCUACCAAGGCGACGAUCUGUAGCGGGUCUGAGAGGAUGAUCCGCCACACUGGGACUGAGACACGGCCCAGACUCCUACGGGAGGCAGCAGUGGGGAAUAUUGGACAAUGGGCGCAAGCCUGAUCCAGCCAUGCCGCGUGUGUGAAGAAGGCCUUAUGGUUGUAAAGCACUUUAAGCGAGGAGAGCUACUUUAGUAUAAUACCUAGAGA